rnacentral:rRNA from 1 species
GACGAACGCUGGCGGCGUGCUUAACACAUGCAAGUCGAACGGAAAGGCCCUGCUUUUGUGUGGUUCUCGCGUGGCGAACGGGUGUGUAACACGUGAGUAUCCUGCCCUUGACUUUGGGAUAACUUCAGGAAACUGGGGCUAAUACCGGAUAGGAGCUCCUGCUGCAUGGUGGGGGUUGGAAAGUUUCGGCGGUUGGGGAUGGACUCGCGGCUUAUGAGCUUGUUGGUCGGGUAGUGGCUUACCAAGGCUUCGAUGGAUAGGCGGCGUGGGAGGUUGGACACGGACAUGGGGACUACGGUAGGGCGCAGACUCGAAUGGGGGGCAGUGGUGGGAAACAUGAUCCAAUCAGGGGGAGCGUGUGAAGAAGACCCCGCGAGCGGGAAGAAGGCCUAGUGGUGGGAAACCGCAGUCAGCUGAGACGAUGCGUGAGUGACGGUAAUGGGUGAAGAAGCACCGGCUAACUACGUG